AUCAAAGCACUUUAAACCAGAAGAAAUUUGAGACUGUACCUUAAGUACUACCUUAAGAGCCCUUAGGUACUACCUUAAUGGCCCUUAGGUACUACCUUAAGGGACCCUAGGUACUACCUUAGCUAAACUUGAACUCAACCUCUCCCAAGCCUCGGGUCUUCCUUUGUGACCCUUAGACCAUACCAUUAUGUGCUUCUCUUGUGUGCUCAAGUGGUCCACCAAUGGUUUUUUGGUACUGUUCCUUAGGUACUACCUUAAUGGCCUUUAGGUACUACCUUAGUGGCCUUCAGGUACUACCUUAAGGGACCCUAGGUACCACCUUAGCUAAACUUGAACUCUACCUCUCCCAAGCCUCAGGUCUUUCUUUGUGACCCUUAGACCAUGCCAUUAUGUGCUUCUCUUGAGUGCUCAUGUGGUUCAUCAAUGGUUUUUUGGUAUUGUACCUUAGGUACUACCUUAAUGGCCUUUAGGUACUACCUUAGUGGCCUUUAAGUACUACCUUAGUGGCCUUCAGGUACUACCUUAGUAGCCUUCGGGUACUACCUUAAGGGACUCUAGGUACUACCUUAGCUAAACUUGAACUCAACCUCUCCUAAGCCUCGGGUCUUCCUUUGUGACCCUUAGACCAUGCCAUUAUGUGCUUCUCUUGAGUGCUCAAGUGGUCCAACAAUGGUUUUUUGGUACUGUACCUUAGGUACUACCUUAAUGGCCUUUAGGUACUACCUUAGUGGCCUUCAGGUACUACCUUAAGGGACCCUAAGUACUACCUUAGCUAAACUUGAACUCAACCUCUCCCAAGCCUCGGGUCUUCCUUUGUGACCCUUAGACCAUGCCAUUAUGUGCUUCUCUUGAGUGCUCAAGUGGUCCAACAAUGGUUUUUUGGUACUGUACCUUAGGUACUACCUUAAUGGCCUUUAGGUACUACCUUAGUGGCC
rnacentral:lncRNA from 1 species